rnacentral:rRNA from 1 species
UGCAGAGGUCUCAAGCGUUGUUCGGAUUCAUUGGGCGUAAAGGGUGCGUAGGCGGCGCGGUAAGUCGGAUGUGAAAUCUCGGAGCUUAACUUCGAAACUGCAUUCGAUACUGCCGUGCUUGAGGACUGGAGAGGAGACUGGAAUUUACGGUGUAGCGGUGAAAUGCGUAGAUAUCGUAAGGAAGACCAGUGGCGAAGGCGGGUCUCUGGACAGUUCCUGACGCUGAGGCACGAAGGUCAGGGAGCAAACGGG